CUGCAGGAACAUCUGGCAGAAGAGAGAGAGAGAGAUAUGCAAGUGGCAAUAAGCAGGCAGAGGACUGGAAGCAGACUGAAUGAAUACGACAGAGAAGCCUGUGAGCAUGCUGCAAUGAGCAGUCACCAUUCCUGCAAAGACUCAUGCUUUUUUACUUCACUCUUGCCUGCUGAAAGUAAUCAGAAAUUUCAUAUACAGGAAAAUUACUGAAUUUAUGCCAGCUAAGAUCACUACCCUUUAGGAAGUGGUAUCUCAGACCUUAUUGUGCUAUGAAGAGAGACGGAGUUCACAUCGCCUAGCUCUCUGGAACAGCAUAGCUGGGGUUGGAGAACAUCUUGUAGAGGUUAGUGUAAGACGAUGGAAAAUGGGUUUCAAUUUCUCUAAACAUGUGCUAUGCUCUUAGAUGGAAAAUAUGACUACAAUGACAAAAUCCUGGAGAACGACUCUUCCUGCAUCACCUUUGGGAGGCCAAGAGGCUCUUCUGCCACUGGUAAAUUUGUUAGGUACACCAAAGGGGAGAGUGACACAUUGUGGCAUGCCAACUGUAUUG